rnacentral:lncRNA from 1 species
UGCCAUAGGCUCUUCUUCUUGGUGAACACACAGGCUACAUAUUUUCCUCAGCCCUCUUUUUCAUUCAUCAAUGCAACAUAUAUAUAUAUACAUAAAGGUUAGGCACUCAUGUCAUGCAGUCCACGGCUCUACCUAGACCCACUACUCCACUAAACACUUCAUGCACUAACCACUAGCUAACACACCGGCCUCUAACUUGACUCGGCUGCUCAUCCAGCAUGCACGGCUCAAUUAACUAGCCCACUAACCAACUAACUCCAUGCACUACAUGCAUGCCCGCGUACACCGCUCGAGUAGCUCCUUCUCAGCAGUGCACGCCGCGCUUAUACGCGCACAACGCGGCCGGCGUCCAACAGAUCACCAACGGCCUCUGAUUCAACUUUCACCUACACGACGGACACGAACACCAACUCAUGGACCUAGACCUACACGGUGAACGCCAACGCGAGAACAGACUCACGCGUCACCAACACGAAUGCUCGCCACGGCGCUGCGUCCCGCAUGUCCCGCACGCAUCCGACGCGCCCGACGAGUCCGACCGCACCAGUGCGUCCCGCACGUCCCGCACGCAUCCGACGUGUCCAACGAGCCCGACUGCACCAGACGUCGUGGCUUAUUCCAACACACACCCUAAGCCACGACAUCGCCGUCGUCGGAGUUGGGGUAACUCCCGUCAUCGAUGUCGCCACGACCGCGGACUCGACCCGGCGCGCUGACGCCGGUCGCUACCGUGCUUGCUUCGUCGUCUCCGGCGACAUACGCCGAGCUCCUUCUCUGCCGGCGACACACGUCUGGCGUUCCUCGGUGACAAACGCUGUUGAUGGGGUCGCGCUCAAACGCGAGCCUUCCCGGACGCCGCUUCAUGGCGUAGCACCGCGCCGCUGCGGCCUCCACCGACGCGCCGCGUUUCCGUGACCCACAAUCGUCGAGCCGAGCCGCCGCGACCUCUGCGCCACCACGCAGGUCCUCCGCGACCUCCUCGUCUCCGCGACCGCCGUGCUCUUCGGGCGCACGGCAUCACUCCGCACCACCGCGGACUCGUCAUGCGUCGCAGUCGCCAUGCGCUCGCCGCGCGCUGCAGCCUCCAUGUCCGACACGCUCGGUGCGCGCCCCGCGGUCGCCGCCGCGCGCCGCGGCAGCCCCCGAACCUGGUCGCUCUGAUGCCAAUUGUUGGUGCCGCCUCUCCUCGCAGCGCCGCUCUUCUUCUUCCUCUCGUUGCCUCACGCAACUCUCUUGUGGUUUCUCUCUAUCUUCUUCUCUCAAGAACACAAGAACACACACACAUGGAAGAAACUCAAACACAAACACACCCAUGGACCAAGAAGGAGCACAAAUGCUUUGCCAUAGGCUCUUCUCCCUGGCGAACACACAUGCUACAUAUUUUCCUCAGCCCUCUUUUUCAUUCAUCAAUGCACCAUAUAUACACACAAAGGUUAGGCACUCAUGUCAUGCAGCCCACGGUUCUACCUAGACCCACUACUCCACUAAACUCUCCAUGCACUAACCACUAGCUAACACACCGGCCUCUAACUUGACUCGGCUGCUCAUCCAGCAUGCACGGCUCAAUUAACUAGCCCACUAACCAACUAACUCCAUGCACUACAUGCAUGCCCGCGUACACCGCUCGAGUAGCUCCUUCUCAGCAGCGCACGCCGCGCUUGUACGCGCACAACGCGGCCGGCGUCCAACAGAUCACCAACGGCCUCUG